AGUCGAGGGGCAUCAGUUUGGUUUGCUUGCAAACCAAAGCUGGCGACCGGCGCACGGGUGAGUAACACGUAUCCAACCUGCCUCAUACUCGGGGAUAGCCUUUCGAAAGAAAGAUUAAUAUCCGAUAGCAUAUAUUUCCCGCAUGGGUUUUAUAUUAAAGAAAUUCGGUAUGAGAUGGGGAUGCGUUCCAUUAGUUUGUUGGCGGGGUAACGGCCCACCAAGACUACGAUGGAUAGGGGUUCUGAGAGGAAGGUCCCCCACAUUGGAACUGAGACACGGUCCAAACUCCUACGGGAGGCAGCAGUGAGGAAUAUUGGUCAAUGGACGCGAGUCUGAACCAGCCAAGUAGCGUGAAGGAUGACUGCCCUAUGGGUUGUAAACUUCUUUUAUAUGGGAAUAAAGUGGUCCACGUGUGGAUUUUUGUAUGUACCAUAUGAAUAAGGAUCGGCUAACUCCGUGCCAGCAGCCGCGGUAAUACGGAGGAUCCGAGCGUUAUCCGGAUUUAUUGGGUUUAAAGGGAGCGUAGGCGGAUUGUUAAGUCAGUUGUGAAAGUUUGCGGCUCAACCGUAAAAUUGCAGUUGAUACUGGCAGUCUUGAGUGCAGUAGAGGUGGGCGGAAUUCGUGGUGUAGCGGUGAAAUGCUUAGAUAUCACGAAGAACUCCGAUUGCGAAGGCAGCUCACUGGAGUGUAACUGACGCUGAUGCCUCGAA
rnacentral:rRNA from 1 species